CCUACGGGAGGCAGCAGUGGGGAAUAUUGGACAAUGGGCGCAACCCUGACCCAGCAACGCCGCGUGAAGGAAGAAGGCUCUCGGGUUGUAAAGCUCUUUUUAUAGGGAAGUAAAGAUGACGGUACCUGACUAAUAAGCAAUGGCUAACUACGUGCCAGCAGCCGCGGUAAUACGGAGGGUGCCAGUGUUAACCGGAAUUACUGGGUGUAAAGGGCUCGUAGGCGGUAUGGCAAGCCUAGGGUGAAAUCCCGGGGCUCAACCUGGGGACUGCAUUGGAAACUGGCAGGCUGGAGUGUCUGAGAGGUAGGUGGAAUUCCUGGUGUAGCGGUGAAAUGCGUAGAUAUCAGGAGGAACACCAGUGGCGAAGGCGGCCUACUGGACCGUGACUGACGCUGAGGCGCGAAAGCGUGGGUAGCAAACAGGAUUAGAUACCCGAGUAGUC
rnacentral:rRNA from 1 species